GGGGAAUAUUGCACAAUGGGCGAAAGCCUGAUGCAGCAACGCCGCGUGAGUGAAGAAGGUCUUCGGAUCGUAAAACUCUGUUGUUAGGGAAGAACAAGUAUCGUUCGAAUAGGGCGGUACCUUGACGGUACCUAACCAGAAAGCCACGGCUAACUACGUGCCAGCAGCCGCGGUAAUACGUAGGUGGCAAGCGUUGUCCGGAAUUAUUGGGCGUAAAGCGCACGCAGGCGGUCUUUUAAGUCUGAUGUGAAAGCCCACGGCUCAACCGUGGAGGGUCAUUGGAAACUGGAAGACUUGAGUGCAGAAGAGGAGAGUGGAAUUCCACGUGUAGCGGUGAAAUGCGUAGAGAUGUGGAGGAACACCAGUGGCGAAGGCGACUCUCUGGUCUGUAACUGACGCUGAGGCGCGAAAGCGUGGGGAGCAAAC
rnacentral:rRNA from 1 species